CCUACGGGGGACAGCAGUGAGGAAUAUUGGUCAAUGGGCGCGAGCCUGAACCAGCCAAGUAGCGUGAAGGAUGACUGCCCUACGGGUUGUAAACUUCUUUUAUACAGGAAUAAAGUGAGUCACGUGUGCCUUUUUGUAUGUACUUUAUGAAUAAGGAUCGGCUAACUCCGGGCCAGCAGCCGCGGUAAUACGGAGGAUCCGAGCGUUAUCCGGAUUUAUUGGGUUUAAAGGGUGCGUAGGUGGGUUGUUAAGUCAGUUGUGAAAUGUUGCGGCUCAACCGUAAAAUUGCAAUUGAUACUGGCAGUCUUGAGAGCAGAUGAGGUAGGCGGAAUUCGUGGUGUAGCGGUGAAAUGCUUAGAUAUCACGAAGAACACCGAUUGCGAAGGCAGCUUGCUAAUCUGCAACUGACAUUGAUGCUCGAAAGUGUGGGUAGCAAACAGGAUUAGAUACCCCAGUAGUC
rnacentral:rRNA from 1 species